CGGGGCGGGUUGGCUUACCAUGCAAGUCGAACGGAAUCCUUAGGGAUUUAGUGGCGGACGGGUGAGUAACGCGUGAGAAUCUGGCUUCAGGUCGGGGACAACAGUUGGAAACGACUGCUAAUACCGGAUAUGCCGAGAGGUGAAAGAUUAAUUGCCUGGAGAUGAGCUCGCGUCUGAUUAGCUAGUUGGUGGGGUAAGAGCCUACCAAGGCGACGAUCAGUAGCUGGUCUGAGAGGAUGAUCAGCCACACUGGGACUGAGACACGGCCCAGACUCCUACGGGAGGCAGCAGUGGGGAAUUUUCCGCAAUGGGCGAAAGCCUGACGGAGCAAUACCGCGUGAGGGAGGAAGGCUCUUGGGUCGUAAACCUCUUUUCUCAGGGAAGAAAAAAAUGACGGUACCUGAGGAAUAAGCAUCGGCUAACUCCGUGCCAGCAGCCGCGGUAAUACGGAGGAUGCAAGCGUUAUCCGGAAUGAUUGGGCGUAAAGCGUCCGCAGGUGGCCAUGUAAGUCUGCUGUUAAAGAGUCAUGCUCAACAUGAUAAAAGCAGUGGAAACUACACGGCUAGAGUACGUUCGGGGCAGAGGGAAUUCCUGGUGUAGCGGGA
rnacentral:rRNA from 1 species